UAUGUAUUAUAUGGUAUGGUGCAUAUAUAUAUCUAAUAUGAAUGUACAUUUAGCUGUAUAACAUAGGUGUAUGAAAUAUUGCAGGCCUUUUUGCUUAGAUUUGAAAAAGUUAAAUUUUCAAUGACAUUUCCACAAGGUUAACAGCUAAAAGGUUGAAGUUAAAUUAGAACAAACACAUGUGUUGUCAGUCAAAUGUAUACAAAACACUUAAUUUUGAAGCUAACUAUAGGCAGAGCCAUCUAGGGUAUAUCCCAAACGUAGAUAUUCAAUACAUUACAUCUUGCAACAAGUUAGAAUACCUUUUUGGGAGUAUUACACAGGUGGGGGCUGCUUUAUGGAGGACAAAAUGGCUAUUUAACUGAAGGAGAAAGAGUGUGACGUUGUCAUUCAUUCACCAUUCAUUCAUUCAUCCAUCUACUCUUACUCUGCCUGCUGUCACCACACAUCUGAAAGGUAUACAGGGACAUAUGCUG